rnacentral:misc_RNA from 1 species
AGCCUCUCGUUAAUUCCACUUCCCUGUGAGCAGAUCUCUCUCUCCGCUGAGAAUCAUGAGAAGAGCCACAACUCUCGCGUCCUCCAUCCUCUCCCGAACACUUGCAGCCACCCACGACGGCGGCGCUGCCACCGCUGCCGCCGCCAACUGCCGCCUGCUCCAGGCGGCACUCUAUUGUACAGGCGUUACAGGCAGUUCCUACAAACAUCAACAUUGGUUCUCUCGGCUUUGCAAUUCUUCCUCUGCGCGAGCUGCGUCUAUUGGGGUUGCUGGAGCUUUGGUUUCGGCGGCUGCUGCCACAUCCAUUUCUCAAGAAGCCUAUGCGAAGGAGCCGCCUCCGCCGGAACUUGUGCCUAAGGACGUUGUUCUUUACCAGUAUGAAGCUUGCCCUUUUUGCAAUAAAGUUAAAGCAUUUCUUGACUACUAUGAUAUACCAUACAAAGUUGUGGAAGUCAACCCAAUUAGCAAGAAAGAGAUCAAGUGGUCUGAUUAUAAGAAGGUGCCUAUACUGAUGGUGGAUGGUGAACAGCUUGUUGAUUCAUCAGUCAUCAUUGAUAAGUUGGGCAGCAAGGUAUCUAAGAAAAAGAUUGAUUUGGCCUCAAGUAAUGGUGGUGAAGAGGAAAAGUGGCGUCGGUGGGUGGAUAAUCACUUGGUACAUGUCCUAUCUCCAAACAUAUACCGCAAUACUUCUGAGGCUCUUGAAUCCUUUGACUAUAUCACAAGCAAUGGAAAUUUUAGCUUCACAGAAAAAAUUACAGUGAAGUAUGCUGGAGCUGCAGCAAUGUAUUUUGUGUCCAAGAAUUUGAAGAAGAAAUAUAACAUUACUGAUGAGCGUGCUGCCUUGUAUGAAGCUGCAGAGACAUGGGUGGAUGCUUUAAAUGGCCGAGAGUUUCUUGGAGGAUCAAAGCCGAAUUUGGCAGACCUUGCUGUUUUUGGAGUAUUAAGACCCAUCCGGUAUCUGAGGUCCGGUAGAGAUAUGGUGGAGCACACCCGAAUAGGAGAGUGGUAUACAAGGAUGGAGCAUGCUGUGGGGGAAUCUUCAAGGAUUACGGCUUAAACCAGAAUUCAUUGCUAUGCUUUCUGCUUCAUUUUGGUUUCCAUCUUCAAUCGCCUCAGUAAACAAUCGUACCAGCUGAGAACAUAAGACUUAACAAUUUUUUUACCAAACAAUUUUGUUAUUGUGUGAUUAUUAUACAAAACAGAAUCCCAAUACCCUAAUCAAUUAUCAAAAUUAUUAUUCUGAGAAUUUACAAAAAUAAAUAAAUAAAUUCUGGAUGUAACUGCAAUUUUCCUAAGCAUUUUGGUAUCAUGAGUUGAUUAGCUGUAUAGUCACUGAUGUUUUAAGUCACUGAAAAUGCUUUUCAAGUCACAUAUUUUGUAGAAAUGUAUGGCUGAUGAAACUCUUCUUCUCUGGAUGGAAAUUAUAUGAAUGAUAGAUUAUUGCUUGCAGAUUUGAAGAAAAGGCAACUUUGUUAAGGGGAUCGGGACUGUACUGGUUCUCUAAUCAUGGUAUCAAUUUAGUUUUGAUUCGGUC